UACAGAGGAGCCAAGCGUUGUCCGGAUUGACUGGGCGUAAAGCGCACGCAGGCGGUCGCGCGCGUGGGGUGUGAAAUCUGGCCGCUUAACGGCCAGGCGCCAUCCCAUACGGCGCGACUGGAGUGAUGCAGAGGUCGAUGGAAUUGCCGGUGUAGUGGUGAAAUGCGUAGAGAUCGGCAGGAACACCCAGGGGGAAACCAGGCGACUGGGCAUCUACUGACGCUGAGGUGCGAGAGCGUGGGGAGCGAACCGG
rnacentral:rRNA from 1 species